UUCUACUAACUGGUUGAUUCAUUGCAGGAAAUGUGCAUAUAAACAACUGUAAUGAGACCGUUAUUGGUUGCAGUUAAGUGUGACUGUCUUUGUCAUUAUCUCUCUUAUCUCCAGUCAUGCACAGCAACACCCACUCUACCACCGGUGUCCUGAGUGUCCACAGCAAAACUCAGCCAUCGAUGAGCCGCUGUGAAUGUGAGAUAAAGACUGAACAAACCUGUUGGAGGUGUUGGAGAGGGACAGGGCUGAGUCUCCAGAAAAUAGGUGUUUGUUUAGGUAGAGUGGAUGUGUCUGAAUUCUCUUAGGGUUCUCCAGCUUCCUCCCACAGUCCAAAGACAUGCAGAUUGGGUGUAUCUCCAGACUCCAGAGCUGCAGGACCCAAAUCUAUCAUUAUUAUUAUUAUUAUGAAUAAUAACAACAUAAUUGCAUCUAUAAGUCACCGCAGGAAUCACGGGGGCAGGGUAUAUCCAGACGCACUUGGAAGAGACAGCACCCCCAUCCAGAGUCUCUAUACCGGUUCCCCUCAGACUCCUCGCUCCUCAGUCAUUUAGACCCCUCACUCCUUCGUCCCUUCAUCGCUCAUUCCUUCGACCCUUUACCCCUUCAGCCCUCUACCCUCCUAUUGUUUUACUCAUUGCAAGAUGCAUUGUAUUCAAAAAACUUUAAUAUUCAUAAGUUGGAGGUGUGGUCCUGUUAGUGAAUCGUUGUUUGCUUUCACUCAAGAAUUAGUAAUGUAAUUCCAUUUCUCUGGGCUUAGGUCAGGUUACAGACAUCUCAAGUCACAGAACUAAUCAAAAAACGUUACUGUAUGCUGAGGCUGAUUCAUUUUCACUUGCAAACCUGGGGGUAUUUAAGUUAGUUGAGUUUGCUAAAUCCGUGUCUUCAUUAAAACAAUUAUUGUUAAUGCAAAUUCCUAUUUCACAGAACACUUAUGGACUUGAAAUUGCUGUAAAAAUCACUGGUGUUACCAUUAACAAUGUGGCUCUGUUCUCUUCAAGUGCAUUCACAAUAUUUUUCAAUUCAACUCUGGGUCAGCUUUUUAAGCAGAGGUUUAACUACUUCUACCUUAAGGCCUUUGGUAGGUAGCCUUGGAACAGUUUAUUAAAUGUAAUACAUCCUUAAACAAACUUGAUGGAAUAUGAUCUAAGAGACAUAUUGAUGGCUUGGGUGAAGUGUUAUCUAUUGGGGAAAAGCAGUCUAGAUAUAAAUAAGGCGAUACUGUUGGUUCUGAGGCUACUGUGGUGGACAGUGUAUCUGUGCUAUUAGUGGGAAGAAGGUGAUGCUUUUUUUCUCUGAUGGUAAUAAUCGUAUUAAUAAAGAAGCUCAUGAAAUCAUCACCACUAAGAAUUAGAGGAAUACUCUGUCAGCCUGGCUAUUUUGCUGAAGAGGAACUUGCGGUUGUUUUUAUUUUCUGAUGCUGUGUGUGUGUGUGUGUAAGUCAGUGAGUGAGUGAGAGAGAGAUAACUACAACGUGCUGGAUAAGCUAUUAUUGGGUCUUUAUAAAUAAGUUCUUUACCUGUUUAUAUUGAACGGUAUAUUUGUAUGACAUGUCUUCAGUGUAUUGUUAAUGCUGAUAUGUCAUGGUUCUCCACAGCUGUCUGCUGCAGUCAGGGCUGAGCUGAGUUCAUCAUGCAAGCAAGACUUCUUUCGUUCACAUGACCUGUCAGAACUUUAUUUAUUUAUGUUGCAACAUAUCAGAUGCAAUGUAUUGAUUUAAACCAAUGAUACACUGAUAUUUUGUCCUUGAUUAUUUGAGAAGUCUUUUAGGAGCCUCAUCACUUUGAUCCAGCUCAGCUUUUUGAUUUCACUCAUAUUUAUAAAUAUCUUUAUUUUCAAUAACGUCACUGUAAAAGACCAAACUGUAUUUAAUAUUAUAAAAUUUUAAAAAAAGGUGAAGAGCCACAUGUAGUUUGUCCAAUAGAUGAGCUGAUGAGCAUGCCACAUGUAUGUUUACUGAAGUACAGCAAAUAAGAUCUGUGUUCAUGAUGGAUUAAAAUAAAUUAAAUCUUUUAUCACGUGACAUUCAUUUGUUUUGUAAGUUAAACUCAACUUAUUAAUGGUGAUGAAUAAUUUAUAUUUUGGAUGUUUAUAGUUAAUUUUAUGUCACAUCAUCAGACUUCCAUUUGUAGAUGAAUUGAAGGCUGCAUGGUGACUCUUGUUAUGAAACAGUUCCACGUUUAGAAUAUUUCCACAUUACUGCAUAACCACGUGUUUUCAUGAAAUACAUUCAUUCCCCGCAUAUUUGACAAGGAAAAAGAAAAAAACAAUUGAUAGAUGUUCAAGAACUUUAACUCAUUAAAACAUGUUACUUUACAUUUGGAUGAAUGAGAUGAAAGAACACAUUUAAAAUAAAACAUAAGAACUGUACAAUAUCACUAACAGGUCGGACCGAAGCUUCACCGGCCCUGGCGGUGGGUUUUCACGGUGUCAAUUUUUUAUUU